CUCCAGACCUCUUGUCAUCUGCGUCCUCAGUUCGGUUCAGCUCAUCCUCGUCGUAGCUGUACACCAGACCCACUCCACGCGCCCCUGGCGAUGGAUAGGAAGAGAUGAAGAGGCACAGGGACAGCACACAGAAAAACAGCAGAGUUCAGAUAACUGCAAGAGGCAAACAGCGACACUGGCAGCUGGCACAGGAAUAAGACCGGAUGCCAGUCAUGGUUCAGCAUACGGUAGAUUUAAUUUAUGCCAGUCGGACAUGGAGACUAGCAGGGCUACAGGAAGACACCACAAAGCCAGCAAGCCGGAAAUCUGGGGAUAUGAUUUUUCUACAAACACACACUGCCAAAGCACUCAAGAUGGAAAAACAAAACCUGGCAUUUCAUUCAUGUGUGACACUGGGAUUCAAGGGACGAAUCCGCAGCAUCCAUACAGCAGAGCGAAGACGACCAGAGACAGAGUUCCCAGCACAAACACUGCUAUGACCACAAGACCACCCAGCGCCCAUGGCUCCUGAUGCAGCCGAAACAGGAACCACUCCACCCAGUCCUCAGGUGACCCUGUGGGUUUCUGCUGCUCAGAUACACUGCACAGGGAGUUAUAAACCAGACGGGCUGUAGAGGCCGAACCCUGGAGACCUGGUAUUUUGGCUUUCCACAGCAGCAGCAGUGGACACAGGACAGCACGAUCAUGAAGAGAAACGUGGCUGAGAGGAGAGACAGGAGACGGGGCAGACAGAAGAUACAGGGUGGGACUCAACAGAUAAAACUCACCAACAAAGAGGAUGAGCACAAAGAAGGCUCCCUGCUCCAGAGG